GGGUCUGGAACAACAACCCAGAAGACGGCUUUAGGAUGCCCAAUGGCUCCUGUGUUCCCCACAACAGCUCAGAGGAGAUGCUUUUCCACUAUGGGAUGACCUGUGAGUGCGGGCGCCCGGAGGGAGAGGGGAGAGGCCAUGUGUCUCCCUCAGCCUGUGAGUGAGGCCACCCCAGGUCUGUGCUGGGAAGACAGGAUGGGGACAUGGGUAGCUGUCACUCACUGAGCAGGGCUUUCCAGACUCAGAAGCUGGAAGCCAUUCUUUUCCCCAGACCCGAGCGCGAGCCGUACCCAGUGAGCUGAGGGGGACACACGGCUGGUAUCCAUCCCACUGCCGCCACCCACCCCUGAGUUCCAGGGGCCCUCAAUGGAACAGGCCUCCUUGGCAUGAGGCAUGACCCGCUGCCUUCCAACUUCACCCCCAUCUUCCUUUCCCAACUGUCGAAAAACUCCCCUCUGGCCUCUGGGUGUGAUGGGGACAAGCAGUGCAUCUAUGACACGCUGGCCACUGGAGACACCCAAGCCAGCCUUCACACCAGGGAGCUUUUCAGAAUGAACCAGCUGAUGAACGCCACCCUCAGUACGUGGUGCUCCCAGAGGGCGUCCCCUCCCACAACGCCCUGCUACCUCCACCUUUUAUUCCUUUUGUCCAUCAAACUCUUGGGCCCAAACCUGCCCGUGAUGCCCAGCUCAACCAGCCUCGGAGGGGCUCCUUGGCCUCUGGGAACCCUGCCCAGCACUUCCGCUCUGCUCCCCUGGCUCCUUCGAGUUCUUCACACAUGAGUUUCCCUGGCGACUCUGAGCCUUGGCACAGGCUGCUCUCCUGCCAGGAAGGCCCUGUCUCCGGCAGCCACAGAUCAGUUCCCGCCCUCCAUCAGUGAUUGCCAUGUGAUGGAAGCCUACAAGGACAAGACCUCCCAGUUUCAGUGCACCAGCAACUCUGAGAAUGUCACCUUUGAGCUCCAAGGGAACCACACCUCCUUCCAGAUCCUCAAGAAUGGGACUUUGCUGUGGGCCCCAAACUCACCAGAACCAGUCACCCUGGAGAUUCUAGUGCAAGACCCCAAGACUGGCUUGUCAUCUGUCCUCCAGCCCAAGACAGUGGCCCGCUUUUGCAGUUCAAGGAGCCAGUGUCUGUACAACCAGACCCGCCGGGUGGGCAACUCCUCCCUAGAGGAGGCCAGCUGCCAGUGUGGCAAGGACACCUUUGGUCGCCACUGUGAACGCUCCAAGGACCCCUGUGAUGAGCGGUGCUUCCCGAAUGUGCAGUGCAUCCCUGGGAGGGGCUGUGGCGCCUGCCCCCGGUUCAUGACUGGGGACGGGAGGCACUGCACAGCCCUGGUGGACCCACUUCUCUGUCAGAACAAGUCCUGCCCGGUGAAUUACUGCUACAACCACGGCCACUGCUUCGUGUCCCAGACUCAGGGCUGCCAGCUGGCUUGUACCUGUCCCCCAGCCUUCACAGAUGCCCGCUGCUUCCUGGCAGGGAACACUUUUGUUCCCUCUGUCCUUGGAGAACUUCCUGUGAGGCCCAUCCAGCUGUCGCUCCGUGAGGAGGAAAAUGCCACCAAGGAGGACGUGAAUGCCUCGGUGGCAUACAGGCUGGAGCACCUGGAUGUGCGGGCCUUCCUCCGGAAUAGCCAUGUGGAGCACAGCCAUUCCAUAGCACUGCCCUCAGGACUCUCCAUCCAGCACUGGAAGGUAGUCUCGGAGUUCGGGUACCGUCCCAGGGGCCCUGUCAUCCACUUCCUGAACCAGCAGCUCCUGGACGCCGUGGUCAGGGCCUUCCUCACGCAGGAGUGGGGUGCGAGACAGAAGAGCAGCCCGGAGGCCCGGAACAAUGUGGCCUUCCAGCCCAUCAGCAGGAAAGAUGUGUCCGAUGGCCAGGCUCGGCUGAACACGAGCAACCUGGGCUUGUACUUCAAAUGCUAUGGUUACGAGGGUUACCACCUAGUCUACAGACCCCAGAAUGGCCUCACCUGCGUGUCCCCAUGCAGUGAGGACCACUGUCAGCAUGGAGGCCAGUGCCAGCACCUGCCCGAUGGGCUGCACUGCAGCUGCGUGUCCUUCUCCAUCUACACGUCCUGGGGUGAGCGCUGCGAGCACCUGAGCAUGAAACUCGGCGCGUUCUUCGGGAUCCUUUUCGGGUCCCUGGGCGCCCUCGUGCUGCUGGGGGUCGUGGUCUGGGUGGCCCUGCGCCUGAGGGGCCUGUCCAAGGCCGAGUACCCACUGCCCUUGGAGAACUGAGGCCUCGCCCAGGAGGCAGCCGUGCCUAGGAGGCUUGGUGGACGCCAUCCUCCCCGGCACACUCAGGUGCCAUUGUCUUGGGGACACUGGAUGGGGAGGGGAUGCAGGUGAUCGGGAACACUGCAAGAGGAGCGGAUGACAGAGGGCUUCUGAUUGGUGUCCUACAGUGUUACACCCAAGCCCACAGAAGAGGCCGUGAAGUCACACCAAUGAGUGGGUUCUCACCCAGAACACCCAGGAGGAAGUCACUGGCCUGUGUGGGAACAUGUGUGUGCAAGCUACACACACACACACACACAUACACACAGGAAAGUUGUUCUAAGUUAACUAAACUGCUUUUGCACACAAAACUCUGGUUUACUUCUGAUUAAAGUCUAUUUAAAUAAAUAAUCCGACCUUUUUGCCUCCAAACUAUGGAUUCCAUCCCCAAUUUUCCUCAAGAGCUAGUCUCAGGGCAUUCUCCCAAUCCUGAGAAGGUACAGGGUGUGGAGUUAAAAGUUCAGCAGCUGACAGGACUAGGAGUUGACUAGACCCACUGACCUCAGCUCUGAGUUACUUCGUGCUGGGAAGCCUUGACUGCCACAGCCCUGACCUGGGUUCUUGCACCUGCCUCUAAACCGUCUUUCCCCACCCCAAACCCAGGCUUUGAUGUUCUAGGUGUGGUUUGUCUUCAAAUUUCGAAUGCAGGGGAC
rnacentral:lncRNA from 1 species